GUGUCGGCAGCACAUAUACUAAAAUUGGAACGAUACAGAGAAGAUUAGCAUGGCCCCUGGGCAAGGAUGACACGCCAAUUCAUGACCUCUUUCAAACCUCU
ensembl:snRNA LOC120103196 U6 spliceosomal RNA